rnacentral:rRNA from 1 species
CUACGAGCUGCACCAGUGGGGAAUAUUGCACAAUGGAGGAAACUCUGAUGCAGCAACGCUGCGUGGAGGAUGACACUUUUCGGAGCGUAAACUCCUUUUAUAUAGGAAGAAGAUGACGGUACUAUAUGAAUAAGCGCCGGCUAACUCCGUGCCAGCAGCCGCGGUAAUACGGAGGGCGCAAGCGUUACUCGGAAUCACUGGGCGUAAAGAGCGUGUAGGCGGAUUAAAAAGUCAGAAGUGAAAUCCUAUAGCUUAACUAUAGAACUGCUUCUGAAACUCUUAAUCUAGAAUAUGGGAGAGGUAGAUGGAAUUUCUGGUGUAGGGGUAAAAUCCGUAGAGAUCAGAAGGAAUACCGAUUGCGAAGGCGAUCUACUAGAACAUUAUUGACGCUGAGACGCGAAAGCGUGGGGAGCAAACAGGAUUAGAUACCCCCGUAGUC